rnacentral:rRNA from 1 species
ACGCUCGACACCUACGGGAGGCAGCAGUGGGGAAUAUUGCACAAUGGGGGAAACCCUGAUGCAGCGACGCCGCGUGAGCGAAGAAGUAUUUCGGUAUGUAAAGCUCUAUCAGCAGGGAAGAUCAUGACGGUACCUGACUAAGAAGCUCCGGACUAAAUACGUGCCAGCAGCCACGGUAAUCUGAGCCGGGCUGGCAAGGC